rnacentral:misc_RNA from 1 species
GAUGAAGAACGUAGCGAAAUGCGAUAAGUAAUGUGAAUUGCAGAAUUCAGUGAAUCAUCGAAUCUUUGAAUGCACAUUGCGCCCCCCGGUAUUCCGAGGGGCAUGCCUGUUCGAGCGUCAUUAUAACCCCUCAAGCUCAGCUUGGUGUUGGGGCCUGCUGCACUGGCAGCCCUUAAAAUCAGUGGCGGCGCCAUCUGGCUCUAAGCGUAGUAAUUCUUCUCGCUAUGGAGUCCUGGUGGAUGCUUGCCAUCAACCCCCAAUUUUUCUAUGGUUGACCUCGGAUCAGGUAGGGAUACCCGCUGAACUUAAGCAUAUCAAUAAGCGGAGGA